GUUGGGUGAGGUUGACUCGAGUGUACCCAUUUGGAGGUUUAAGGGUCCCUGUUCAGGGUUCAAACUAAGGAUCGAGGUUUCCUCAUGCUAUCCUCUGCCAUUCUUCACCAUUUUCAGGUCGAAGGUUUCUCCGCCAUUCUCUGCCAUUCUCAGAGGUUGACGUAGGGUUCGAAGAUUUCUCCGCCACUAUCCUCCACUCUCAAACUCUCACGGUUCACCUCUCCCGUUCUAGCGAAGGAUAGACAUUGUUCCGCCUCUCCAUCGCCUCAGACGUCGUUUGGUGUUUGUUCUGUUCAUUCUCCCUCUUGAAUCAAUCAUAUCUGUUCCAUAUCUCCGUUCUGAGUGAAGAAUCAUGGUGGGAUUCAAAAAUAGAUACAUGGUAAUGGAGGUUUUCUUAGAUCCAAACAGAGAGCUUCUGCGUAAUGAUCCUAUUAUCAUCACUCAACUUAAUAUUUCCAAGGCAAUCAAUGAAAGCAUUCUUGUAAACUUUGGAGAGUGUGGACUAGCUUCAUCAAUUGGAUCAUUCCAGGUUAAAUAUGUCAACCCUAUAACCAAGCUGUGCAUCAUAAGAGCUUCACGUGAGGAAUACCGAAAAGUAUGGUCUGCAAUGACCAUGGUCAGGCUUAUCGGAAAUUGCCCUGUUCUGUUUAACUUGCUUAACUUGAGUGGAAGCAUUAAAGCUUGUAAAAAUGCUGCCUUGAAAUGUGAUGAAGCAAAGUUUGAACAGUAUAAGCUUGUGGCAGGAGAUCAGCUUACACCAGAGAUCACUCAGCAAAUGCAUAAUUGUCUUGAGAGGAUCAAAAUAUUGGAGCACUGAUCAAAUUCUGGGCGAUAUUUUACACAGCCCACUCUGUGUUGCUACUGCAUAGACAUUUUUCAAAUAUUGAAGGCAUAUUGCUCAAAGGAUAGCACGUGUUACAGGCAAAUCAUGUUUGACUCGACUAAGAUUCUCAGCCUGAUGUCCAUUCCUCUUAUAAAAUGAUUUUCCCAACCCCUUUUGGAUCAUUCGAUCUGAUCCAAUUUUUUCCUAGAGAAAAAAGAAAUUUUAUCCUACGUGUGAAUAAUUCUUGUAGUAAAACACACGGAGAGCUAGGUAUAAGUUACAAAAAGAAGCUCGAGGUGAGAGCUGUUGAUCAAUGCCUGAAAGACAACCACCUCUGUCACUCCAUGUUAUUCACCAAAAGUUGCUUUCCGGCUAUUUGAGGUCUCUAGGAGAUGUUUAAGCCCUCUAUUCACAUGGACACAGUUGAAACCUGAAGCUGCUUGUCAGGGGUUUAUGAAAUAAAUUAGGUAUGGUGUCUCACUUCUACGUGUUUUAAAAAAACCAAUUUUGUGCUGCAUGUAGGAGAUAUGCUCAUUACUUUUUACAGGUCCUAUAGACAUUAGGUCCUUUGUUAAGACCCCCACCCCCUGGCAGACGGCAGGUUUAUGGGCGCAUACAAGGAUUCUUAGGUGGGGAGAUUGCAGAGCACUCUCAAAGCCCCUGCGACAAAACAGACCAAGAAGAAUUGGUGACAAUGGUUUACAAGUGAAUCCUCAUCCAGCAUUCUGGGUUGCGUCUCACUCUCAAGUCGUAAACAGAAAAGAAGCCUCUUUUGUAUCCAGGCUUAUUGAGUUUUCCUAACUUCCAAUGGUAGCGGUUAACUGGGCCUAGGUUUAGCCCUGAAGCAUCUGGGCAUGUAAAAUAAUAAAUAAAUAAAUAAAUUUUACUAGGUUACCUCUUGGAUGUAAUGCUUGAAUCUGAUAUUGUUUUUGCAUUUUAAUUUUUUUGAAGCCCCUUUGAAAGGAUUCAUAAAUUAGGGGGGUGUUGACCAUGAUAAUUUGUUUUUGAAAGCUAAAACAGCUGCCGCGUAAGCAAAAUCAUAAUUUAGGGGUUAUUACUUGUUAGUUCUA